GUUCUUGUAAACUUCUCUUCAGUAGAAACGGUCCUGCUCUCGAAUAUUUCAGGGCAUCCCCACCCUGAGCCUGCCCUUCCUCUCGGGUUUGGUUUUAGAAAGUGUACAAAUCAAAGAACCCGGCCGUCCUGCGGGUGGGGCACGCUGGCGCAGAACCAGAGGUAACCGGCUCUGCGGCCACCUACGGGUCUAGGAAUUACUUGCUGGAUGACCCUGCAGGGAGUGGCACGUGGAGUCCUAUCGACCUCAGAGGCACUAUCAGAUUAGCCCUAGGAGGUCCGUCUGGGGGUCUCGGCGGCCUGCGCCAGUGGAGGGGCGGCACCUCCCCAGAAGCCGGGCUUCCCGCCCCACCGGCCCGCGAGGUGCCGCAGGGAGGGUGCGGUUUGGCUUGUCAGCACCCAGGGGCGUCACAAACCCUUUGUUGAACAGGGGAUUUACCCCUUUGUGUGGCGUCACUUGAUCAAUAGUUCAGUUUCAGUGUGGCUAAUAGUGUUAAAAACUGGCCGGGCGCGGUGGCUCACGCCUGUAAUCCCAACACUUUGGGAGGCCGAGGCGGGCGGAUCACCUCAGGACUCCAAGGCUCUAAGGAUGGAAGAGUCAUAAUUGGAAAGAGCCUGGGUACCUGAAUCACUGUAUGGAGGAAAAUCACUUGCUGAGCAGGAACAUCCUCAUUGGACUAGCUAUAAAUUUGGUUGGUAACAUUGAAGAGACACUUCUCACCUGCCUGAAAUGCCCUUCAUUAUCUUUUCAGGUUGCAAGGGCUCUGGAACAGCCCUUGCAGUACUCACAUAAAGGAGCCUGAGCUGAGUCCACACCCUGGAAGCCCAGAACUGAGGGAACAGAUGGAAGAAAGAAAGUCAGCAGGUUUAGGGGAUGAGAAUAACCACAAAGGACAAGCCAUUGCUGCUCCUUAAAAGAAAAGGAAUCAUACUGCUAAGAAUUCAGACUUCAGCAGACAUGGGGAGCAUUGGGAGGAGCCCGAAUCACUGAUGGAAUUGAACAGUGCGUGGAGACGGUUCAGCAGGACAAGGUGCUCAAAAUUCAUCCCUGUGUGACCUCAAGUAAGCCACAUAACUUUGUGAUCCUGCAGUUUCAUCAUAUUUAACAGGAAAAAACUUGACAGAUUUUCAUUCUGCCACAGAAUGUCAGGUCUCCCAGACACCAGAAAAUACAUUGACUUAAAAAGCCUUUGAUACAUCUCAAAGCAGUAUCCCUACGCAGUAUAGUUGGAAGAUGGUGGGCGCUGUAGAGAGGGAUGCUUUCAAAUGGGAUUGAUCCAGUCCUCCUUCCUUCACUUCCACAUGAAUGCUGGGCAGCCCAGGGUCACACCCACUGCACCCUCAACUCGGGCAAGUCCAACAGCCAAACUGAGGAGACCUGGGCUACAGAACAGUCUCUCAAGUUCCAGGCUCACAAAACCUAGGUGGGAAUGAAUGCCGAGAAAGUGAGGAGGUGGUUCAGGGGAUCUCUCUCCCCUACUCAUUCCUCUCACGUCAAACUCACCUUCUACUGCACAGCAACACUGAGGAUCACCAAAUACCAACUACUAACACCAAGACCAUGACCUUGAUGUUGCCAUGUUCUGUUAGUGGAAAGCAACCACACAUCAGUUGUGUUAGUCCAACUCAGAAAAAUACUUAUCAAGCAAUAUUCCAUAAGAACUGCUCAUGGCCCUGUUCUUUUCAAUAUAUGGGAAAACUAAAGGAAAACAACAAAAUAGUAUCAGGUUUGCAAGACUUCCCAAGAUCGAUGGUCACACGUGUUUUCAGGAGCUCCCUAUGUAAAUGAUUUUGAUCACUUGAUACCUUGAAAAGAGCUCUUAUGGGCCCAGAAUGACAUCCAUAAGUGACAAGUAUGAAAUGUAGUGUUCAGUCACAUUAAAAAACAAAUCAUCCCACAUAGAGGAAGAGCUUUGGAUGUAGGAAUGUCAAACUGGUCUUAAAUGUAAUGAAAAGCCAAGAUGGUGCCCCAGUAAGAAAAAAGAAAUCAACAUAACAAUGGGAUGCCCCAAGAAGAAUACUGAGACAGGAAAGAAAACAUUUUUAAAAAAUUAAUUAUUCAUUCACUUUCUGGUGGAUACAGAAAAAACUGCAGAAGACCCACAGGAUAUCAUGGCAGUCUAAAAGUUUGAUAUCUUACACCGUGGAAAAGCCUUAAAUUCUAUUUUAACGUGAGAGAAGGUGGAGUGACUGACUUCAUGACUACCAUUUAGAAAAUAUAACCUGUUGGGAAACUAUUUCUGCCUUGAUGAUUUUGUACACACAAGAAAUGAACAAUGAGGAAGAUGCUUAGAUGUAUUGGGAAAGAGAUGGGUCUGUGGCAUUGUCACAAGGGUACAAGGGUACACAUAUACUGAGAGUGAAUGCUGAAGGGAAGGCCCCCAUCGGUGGUGACCUCUCGUGUGACCAGGGCGCCUGUGUUUCAGCAAAGCCUGGGCAAUUGGAACGCAGGGCUCCUAAGAUUCCAUGACACCCCCACCUUCUAAUUCUGUUAUUGCAACUGCAGACCGUUACCUGGCAUGCUGGCUGCCACCUCCCUCACUCUUGUCAGAGUCUGAGCUACAGGCAGUGCCUUCAGCUCUGAGCUCAGGCGUCUCAAACCUUGUUUUUGCGAUUAAGGACUCUCAAGUGCUGUGGGGAGUGAUCACGUUUUUCUCAACAUCCCUGGCUCCACCUCUUCUGCCACAAACAUCAGCAUGGUGGUGUCUGCCAGCCCUUCAUCCAGUGUGAGAAGACAGAGAUGAACACUGGAGAAAUCAACAAGAAAUUGCGCCCCCAGCCGGCAGAGAACAAACAGCAGUUCAGAAACAUAAAGAGAAAUUUCUUGUAACUCAAGUGGCCUAAUUCCUGGCCAACCAGCAGAAGAAAUACCAGUAUGAAGAAUUCAAAGACCUCAUAAAAUCUAUGCUGAGGGAUGAGCUGCAAUUCAAGGACGAGAAGCUUGCAGAGCAGCUUGGGCAAGCUGAGGAGCUCAGGCAAUAUAAAGUCCUAGUUCACUCUCAGGCACGAGAGCUGGCCUGGUUAAGGAAGAGAUUACAGGAAGGGAGAGAUGCCUCCCGCUCAUUGAAUCAGCAUCUCCAGGCCCUCCUCACUCCGGAUGAGCCUGACAACUCCCAGGGGCAGGAUAUCUGAGAGCAGCUGGCUGAGGGCUGCAGGCUGACAGAGAACCUCAUCCACAAACUCAGCCCAGGUGGUCUUUGGAACAGGAGGCAGCAUCUCUCCAGUUUUAAAGGACAAGAAGGAGGCUGUGACAGGAGGGCGCUUGUUAGAGUGAAAAGAGCUCUGGACUAAGCAUGGAGGUUCCCAGGCUCUAUCUUCAGCAACGUCCUUCGUAACUGUCGAAAAUGAUGAAGAUGUGGAUGACGAUGUUUACGUUGAGGAGGCUGAGAAAGUGCGGGAAUCACGUGCCCCCAGAUAUAUAAGAAGAAUCUUCAUGUGUGCAGAGCUAUCUAAGCAUGGAGGCUGUAGUGGUUAACAAGACAGAUGAAGUCUCUGUUCAGAUGCUGCUCGACCAGCUCAACUUAGGUGAAUAAACAAUAUUUAUAGAGCAAGUGGAGGAAGAUGAUCCAACAUAGAAGAAAGAAGAGAGAUGAUCAGGGAAGCAGGAGGAGGCUUCUCUGGUGUCAUCAAAGCUCAUGAAGAGAGACUUCCAAGAUACAGGGAGUGGUCAACAAGGUGAAAGACUUCAGCGAGGCAGAGUAUGGUGGAGGCUGAGAUGUGUCCACCUGAUUGGCAAUCAUAUCCUUGGAUACCUUUGCCAGAGCAGUUUUAGUGUGGUGGUAGGAAGAAACACAGAUGGCAGUGGACUGAGGAAGAGAGAUGAAGAGUAGAGAUGGGGUUAUGGAUUACUCAUUUGAUCAAAUUGAAUAUGAAGAAAAGGAGAAAGUGGCAGCCAGAGGGGAUCUAGGAUUAAGGGUAUAUUUAAAAAUAUACAGUUUUACAAGCUGUGGAGAAGGAGUUAUCAGAAUGAGAAGUCAAAGAUUCCAGGUUGAAAGAAUGUGAACAAUGAAACAAGACCCCAGAGGAGCCGUGGGUGACUGGAAUUACUUCAGAGAGGUGGAGAAGGAGAAGAGUGGGAGGGAGGCUGUAGAUAGCUUGUAGGUUUGGGCUGUACAGGGUUAUCCUUUCCCAUGGCCUUUUUGAUGCUAUGAGGCAGGAAGUAAGGCAUCUGUGAGCAUAGGCAUUGGGUAGGGGGCACAGAGGGCAUAGGCAUUGGGUAGGGGACUUGAGGAGGUCCUGUGGUCUCAGAGGAAAUGGAAAGAGGAGCUGAACCAGAAUGGCUGAGUGGUGUGAAAGUUUAGGGACCUAUCAUUUUGUGGUGACUUCAAUCCACAUGGUUGUGUGAUUGUGUGGCUGUAUGGCUUCUUCCAGGUGUGCUUCGAAGUUUAGUCAUCAGAUCCAAGAGAACGGGCUGUGGAAUGAAUUUAGGGUUAGGUGUGUGUGUAUGGGUGUAAACAAAGGAUAAAGGGGUGAAGGAGUUGAGGGCAUGGGUGAGAAAGGAAUUCACUUGAUUGGCACUGCAUGCUGGACAAAGAAGGAAGGAGCAAGGACACAGAAGGUGGAUGGUGGGAAGGCUCCACAAAAUCAAGGAGCAAGGUAAGUGG
rnacentral:lncRNA from 1 species